UGGGGAAUUUUGGACAAUGGGCGCAAGCCUGAUCCAGCCAUGCCGCGUGCGGGAAGAAGGCCUUCGGGUUGUAAACCGCUUUUGGCAGGAACGAAACGGCGCUCGCUAAUACCGGGCGCUAAUGACGGUACCUGCAGAAUAAGCACCGGCUAACUACGUGCCAGCAGCCGCGGUAAUACGUAGGGUGCAAGCGUUAAUCGGAAUUACUGGGCGUAAAGCGUACGCAGGCGGCUGAGUAAGACAGGUGUGAAAUCCCCGGGCCUAACCUGGGAACUGCAUUUGUGACUGCUUAGCUAGAGUCUGUCAGAGGGGGGUGGAAUUCCGCGUGUAGCAGUGAAAUGCGUAGAGAUGUGGAGGAACACCGAUGGCGAAGGCAGCCCCCUGGGAUGAGACUGACGCUCAUGUACGAAAGCGUGGGGAGCAAACAGGAUUAGAUACCCUGGUAGUCCACGCCCUAAACGAUGUCGACUAGUUGUCGGGCCUUUACAGGUUCGGUAACGCAG
rnacentral:rRNA from 1 species